rnacentral:lncRNA from 10 species
GUUAGUUUGGCCUAUUGCAGCGUCCCAGCAUCUGUCGCGUUUCUCAUGUGUGAUUGGGCUCUGGCGGCCCAUCCUGGCGGAGACUUCGGCUAGCAGGCCCCGCUGCAGACCCCAGGCCGGCUCGGGUCUACCUGCGCCAGCGCUGUACCUGGGCGACCUUGGCUUUGCCCCCACCGGUGACCCGGCCCGCAGGACGUGUGGGUGCCGCUCAGCUCCCCCCGCCUCGGCCGCCGACCCCCAGCUCCCCGGCGGGGCCUCCUCCUGCCACGUGACGCCCCCGCCAGGGGCCCCAGCGCCCUCCUCGCGGCCGCGCCGUUCCGGCUCCCGAGCCCCGCCUGCGCGCGGCCUCCUCGGCGCAGCCAUCCUCUUGGCUGCCGCGGGCGGCAAAGCCCACGGCAUCUGCCAUUUGUCAUUCAGCCCGUCGGUACCGCCCCGAGCCUUGAUUUAGACACGGCUGGGGCGUGCUCUGGCCUCACUCUCCGGGCGGGUGCUGGACGGACGGACGGACGGGGCAGCCGUGCUCACAGCUCAGCAGCGCGGGGCCUUGGCGCGCGGGGCGCUUCCCCGGGUCGCCGUCAUGGCCGCGGAGGUGGCACGCCCGAGCGGCCUCGCCUGAGCUCCGGGGGUCGUCGCCCCGCAGGGUAGGUGUUUGGGUGCUCGCGGCUGCGGCGGGCGGGCUGGGGGCAGCGGUGGCCGUGCAUUGCCGCGCUGCGAGGACGGCGCUGGGUUCGCGGCCGCGAGGAGGGUGUGCCUUUGCCGCGCCGCCUACGUGCGGGUCCGGGCUCCGCGGGGCCGGGUGCGGGACCCCGCAGAUCGUCACCCGCAACCCAGGCAGCCCCACCGCGAGUGCCGCCGGACCCCCUGGACGCCGCUGCCAGAGGCGUUCGCGCCUAUCUGGUAUGAGGUCCACAGACCCGAUUCUUACAACCUGGCGCUCUAACCUCGCCAACGGGCCAGGAAAAAAACAGAACAAGGAAAAGAAGAAAAAGUCUGUUCCAAGUAAUAAUGGGACUAGACAGUAACUGUUUGCACUUUCGUCUCUUAUGGAAAAUAUGAUUAUUUUGAUGCUUUAGUAUUACAGACUGUAUCAGACAUACUCUUAAAAGUAUUUAAAAACGUGGGGUCCUAAAAAUUUCCUAGAUCGGGACAGCUGAUAAUGCGACUUCUGUUAGUCUCCGCAUCCAACUUUCAGGGCGGAAUGGGGAUUUCUACCUUUUACUGAAUAUACUCCUGUAAUUUUGAAUAUUUUUUCUCAUCAAAUGUGUUACUUUCAUGUUUUAGGAAACCAAUAAAAAUCAAAAAUAGAAACACCCAGCUUAGGUCCUCCUUCUUCCAGGAAUCCUCCUCUAACCCCUCCCUCCCAGGCAGGAUCGGAGGCCCCUCCCGGGUGCUUUCUGGGGCCUCACUGAGGUCCUGGUCCCCUAAGUCCUCCCCCGCAGCCCCUCCGCGUAUUAACCCACCGGUCUCGCUGGGCUCAGAGAUUGCUUACUUAGCACAUGGUAAGUGAUUAAUACUGUUUAAUGACCGAGGGAAAAGAUAAAAUGUUCUCUGAUGUUUCACGCUUUUCGCUCUGAAGUUAAAUAGUGGUAAAUUUAUAUGCGCUUAGAUAAGAACAUUUAACAGUUAAGGAUCUGGAAAAGUUGACGACGUCCGAUGUCCGUGUUUCCUGAUCCAGCAGUUGCACGCCUGGGUAUUCAUCCUUAAGAACAAUGUUUUUCAGAAUUUGAAGUCCAUUUUAGUGGGUCGUAAAGUCAUUUAAAUGGAUGAUCAGAAUUUGUAAAACACAGACGGAGAAUAGAACAUCAGUGUCUCUCAGGUCAUAGGGGUGUUCGCUUUAUGAAUCUCUCUCCCCCUCCUCAGUUUCAUACAUACACAAAUGUGUGUCAUGAUGUAAAACGUCAUUCCUUAGUAUGAGUCAUGGACAAAAAAGUUUGAAAGCCACUGCCCUAGAUAAAUUUUAAUACAUGUCCACAAGCAGACGUGUACAAGAAGGUUGACUGUAAUGGCAGAAAACUGGAUGCCGCCUUCAUGCCUACCUGAAGGAGAAAGAUAAAUUAUACACCACUCAUAAAAAGGGCACACUGUACAGUGGCCAAUGAAGUAUUUUUGUGUUUCAACACAAAUGCCUUUCAGUGUUGAACCAAAAAAAAAAAAAGUUGCCGGAGAAUGCUGUGUGAUAUCUUCUAUGUAAAAUUCAGAACCUGGUGGAGCAAAGCUGUUGUUUAGGGAUGCAUGUAUAGGCAUUAAAAGUAGUAAAGAAAAAAAGUCAAGCUAAUGGUCAUCUCCUAGUGGGGAGGAGAGGGUCAGGGGCUCAGAGAUGCUGGAAAUGCUUUAUCGCCUGACCUGUGCAAUGGUUACAUGGGUGUUUGCUUUGUAACUCUUUGUUAAAUGAUACACACUGGGUUUGAAUGUUACAUUUCCCCCCAAAUAUGUUAAAAUAUGGGUGUUGCAAACUGAAGAAGCCUGAGUCUAGGGCUCUCCGUCUGUUAUUCUUAUUUCCUGGCUUCUUUUUAGAAAAAAAAAAUCUUGCUCAGGGAGGAGUACCUAGGGAAUUUAUCAGUAAUGUUUUAUUUCAUAAAUUCCAUGGUGGACAUACCAGUAUUCAUUAAAUUAUUCUUUAUGUAUUCUUAUAACUUAAUUUAUAAUAUUUCAAAAAGCAUUUAGGAGAAAACAUCAUUUGGUGUGUUUGCUUUCCCAAAAGUCACAUUUACAUGUUUUGUACACAACUGGAAUAUUUUAUAUAGUAAUUUUAGCUAAAAUCAAAUUUUGUUAUGAAAAACGAAAUACUAAAAAGUAUAUAAAAAUCACAGAACUUUACAGACUUUCAGCGUUUUAAAAUGCUAACAUAUUGUAUUUACCUCAAUAAUUUCUGUUCCUCAGUUCUUUCAGGCCACAUUUUUAGUGCUCAAUAGCCUCAUAUGACUUUAAUAUUUUAUUAUAUUUUAUUAUGUUAUAUAUUUUACAUUAUACAUUAUAGAACAGAAUAUUUCCAUCAUUGCAGAAAUUUAUAUUGGAAAACAUUCUGGAUACAAAUAUUUGUUAUAUACUUGCAGAUAUUAAACUGUAGACAUUAAUCCUUAUGCUUUUUGUCUUAAGAUACUCUACUAUUAAUGAAAUGUAUUCUGAAUAUUUUUCUAAGAAUUUUUAAGUUUAUGUUUUGUCCACAUUUUGUUCUUUAAUUUACCUGAGACAUGUAUAUAUUGAGAUGUAUAUAUUUUAUGUUAUGAGAUCAAGCUUAAUUAAUUUUCAGAUUCCCACAUGAAAAGGUAAUUGUCCCAAUAUCAGUGAUUAGCAGUGCCACUUCUGUCACAUACAGUACCCAGAUAUGUUUGGGCUUAUUUCCAGGCUGUUAAUCCUGGUUUAUUUGUCAUUUGAAAAUACUGCAGAUUUUCAUUUACUGCUGCUUUCUAUGUAGUAUAUUGUUCAGUUCUAAGAAUUUAAGAUUUUUUCAUUGUGAUAUUUUUUCUUCCCCUAAGAGAUUUGUAGAAAGUAGUCUAGUUCCAAUGUGGAAGGUUUUGUGAGUUAUCCUUUUGUUACUGAUUUCUAAUUUGCACUGUAGUUAGCAUACGUGUCAAGGCCAACAAUUCUUUGAAAUUCGAGAAUUGCUUUAUGGUUUUAACUGCUCCUUGUAUCAUCAAGAAUAAUUUGUACUCACAGACUUUUGAGGCAAUGUAUGUAGGUGUGUGUAUAUAUAUAAUAUAUACACAUACACUUUAUAUAUAGAUUAUAUAUAAUCUCUCUGUAGAGUUUAUAUAAAAAUUAAAUAUAUUUAUAUAAAUGUAUAUAUAUAUAUGAAUAAAAUCUCCUGUCUCUAA